GUGGGGAAUCUUGCGCAAUGGGCGAAAGCCUGACGCAGCCAUGCCGCGUGAAUGAUGAAGGUCUUAGGAUUGUAAAAUUCUUUCACCGGGGACGAUAAUGACGGUACCCGGAGAAGAAGCUCCGGCUAACUUCGUGCCAGCAGCCGCGGUAAUACGAAGGGGGCUAGCGUUGCUCGGAAUUACUGGGCGUAAAGGGCGCGUAGGCGGACAGUUUAGUCAGAGGUGAAAGCCCAGGGCUCAACCUUGGAAUUGCCUUUGAUACUGGCUGUCUUGAGUACGGGAGAGGGGAGUGGAACUCCGUGUGUAGAGGUGAAAUUCGUAGAUAUUCGGAAGAACACCAGUUGCGAAGGCGACGCACUGGCCCGUUACUGACGCUGAGGCGCGAAAGCGUGGGGAGCAAACAGGAUUAGAUACCCUUGUAGUCC
rnacentral:rRNA from 1 species